GCCUCUAUAGCUCAGUGGUUAGAGCACUAGUCUUGUAAACUAGGGGUCCUGAGUUCGAUCCUCAGUAGGGGCU
rfam:Biomphalaria glabrata isolate BB02 unplaced genomic scaffold LGTN_random_Scaffold1517, whole genome shotgun sequence.